UGGGCGUAAAGCGUCCGCAGGCGGCCUGAUAAGUCGGGUGUGAAAGCCCGGAGCUCAACUCCGGAACUGCAUUCGAAACUGUCUGGCUCGAGUUCGAGAGAGGUGAGUGGAAUUCCGAGUGUAGAGGUGAAAUUCGUAGAUAUUCGGAGGAACACCAGUGGCGAAGGCGGCUCACUGGCUCGAUACUGACGCUGAGGUGCGAAAGCGUGGGGAGCAAACAGG
rnacentral:rRNA from 1 species